AGCGAACGCUGGCGGUAGGCCUAACACAUGCAAGUCGAACGGCAGCACAGUAAGAGUUUGCUCUUACGGGUGGCGAGUGGCGGACGGGUGAGGAAUAUAUCGGAAUCUACUUUUUCGUGGGGGAUAACGUAGGGAAACUUACGCUAAUACCGCAUACGAUCUACGGGUGAAAGCAGGGGAUCUUCGGACCUUGCGCGAUUGAAUGAGCCGAUGUCGGAUUAGCUAGUUGGCGGGGUAAAGGCCCACCAAGUCGACGAUCCGUAGCUGGUCUGAGAGGAUGGUCGGCCGCACUGGAGCUUGAACAGGGUCCAUACUCCUACGAGAGGCAGCAGUGGGGAAUAUUGGACAAUGGGCGCAAGCCUGAUCCAGCCAUACCGCGUGGGUGAAAAAGGCCUUCGGUUUGUAAAGCCCUUUUGUUGGGAAAGAAAAGCAUCAGGUUGAUACCCCGCUGUUCUGACGGUACCCAAAAAAUAAGCAUCGGCUAACUUCGUG
rnacentral:rRNA from 1 species